ACCCUGGGGUUCGCCCCUUCUCCCCUCUCCUGCUGGGAGUCUGCAGGGCUGAAGGAGGGUGGGGUUGGGAGAGCUGCUGCUGCCACGGGCCCCUGUCCUGCCCAGCACAGGGCACUGGGCUCCUGCCAGGAGGAGCUUUAGUGUCCACACUCCUGCUCUUCUGCCAUUUUCCUUCUUAGAUUCCAAAGGCAUCGGCAUUGCAUUCGCCGUUGGAAUUGUCAUAGGAGCUGUAGUCAUAGCAGCAGCAGGUGGUAUGCCAGUGGCCCUCAGUGCCAUGUCAGUUAGCAAGACCAAGGUUCUUGCCGUCACUUUCACAAUCGGGGCAAAAAGUAUCGCCCGAUCUGCCUGUUGAGCAGCAGCCGACUGUACAACUACCUAUGAUCCAUGCAAUAGAAUAAAAGCAAGAUUCCUUCCUUCCACCCUGAUUCUUCAAAUGGCAGGUGCUGGAAAGCCCCAUCCCACCCACAGCUUCAGCUUCAAAUGGUUUGGAAAAAUUUUAGUCAUAAAAUAAUUUUAAACAA